rnacentral:rRNA from 1 species
GACGGAAGGUGCAAGCGUUACUCGGAAUUACUGGGCGUAAAGCGUGCGUAGGUGGUUUGUUAAGUCUGUUGUGAAAGCCCCGGGCUCAACCUGGGAAUGGCAAUGGAUACUGGCAAGCUAGAGUGCGGUAGAGGGUAGUGGAAUUCCCGGUGUAGCGGUGAAAUGCGUAGAGAUCGGGAGGAACACCAGUGGCGAAGGCGGCUACCUGGACCAGCACUGACACUGAGGCACGAAAGCGUGGGGAGCAGACAGG